GAUCCUAGCUCAGGAUGAACGCUAGCGGCAGGCUUAACACAUGCAAGUCGAGGGGCAGCACGAGGUAGCAAUACUUUGGUGGCGACCGGCGCACGGGUGCGUAACGCGUAUGCAACCUACCUUUAACAGGGGCAUAACACUGAGAAAUUGGUACUAAUUCUCCAUAACAUUCGAGAAGGCAUCUUCUUGGGUUAAAAACUCCGGUGGUUAAAGAUGGGCAUGCGUUGUAUUAGCUGGUUGGUGAGGUAACGG
rnacentral:rRNA from 1 species